AAGAAAGAAGAAGGAUGAGGAGGAGGAGAAGAGGAGAAGGAAGAGGAAGAAAACUGAGUUUGGCCCAGAGGCAAGCUAUAAAAGUGUUUCAUUUUAUACAUUUAUUUACAGGUUUUAACCUUCAAUGCCCUCAUUCAUUCAAAUCUUAUAAAUCUUCUUUUCUUAUACUACUGAUAUGUGUAAAUCGACAGAGCUACAACACACACAGCCACAACACACAGAAGCCCAUCUCCAUCCCAUCCAUGACUCGUGCCAAGAAAAUUCCUCCAGUUCGUGUGGAAGGAAGGUCAGCAUUUGAGAGAACAGCGUGUGACGACGAUGAGGCCACAGAGACGGACCAGGCACUAGAAGUUUACUAGGGAGAAAGAAACCAUGGCAGGAACCACAGAGAACUUUUAUCCAUGAAGCCAAGAGGAUGGACACACCACACCAACUGUCCUUGAGGAAGGACAGCAGCCCAUGACAAACUACUUCACUGGAUCCAUGCGCCAACUGCAACUACUGAUGCUCCAGCUAUCCAGGGCCAAUGUGGAAUGUGAACUAAAGGGGACCAAGGAGAAGGAAAAGCAA